UACGGGGGGGGCAAGCGUUGUUCGGAUUUACUGGGCGUAAAGAGCGCGCAGGCGGUCGUGCAAGUCGCGUGUGAAAGCCCCCGGCUCAACUGGGGAGGGUCACGCGAUACUGCUCGACUCGAAGGCAGGAGAGGGAAGUGGAAUUCCCGGUGUAGUGGUGAAAUGCGUAGAUAUCGGGAGGAACACCAGUGGCGAAGGCGACUUCCUGGCCUGUUCUUGACGCUGAGGCGCGAAAGCUAGGGUAGCAAACGGG
rnacentral:rRNA from 1 species